GUGAUCGCGCUACCAUGCAAGUCAAGCGGUAGAGAGAUGCUUGCACCUCUUGAGAGCGGCGGACGGGUGAGUAAUGCCUAGGAAUCUGCCUGGUAGUGGGGGAUAACGUCCGGAAACGGACGCUAAUACCGCAUACGUCCUACGGGAGAAAGCAGGGGACCUUCGGGCCUUGCGCUAUCAGAUGAGCCUAGGUCGGAUUAGCUAGUUGGUGAGGUAAAGGCUCACCAAGGCGACGAUCCGUAACUGGUCUGAGAGGAUGAUCAGUCACACUGGAACUGAGACACGGUCCAGACUCCUACGGGAGGCAGCAGUGGGGAAUAUUGGACAAUGGGCGAAAGCCUGAUCCAGCCAUGCCGCGUGUGUGAAGAAGGUCUUCGGAUUGUAAAGCACUUUAAGUUGGGAGGAAGGGUACUUACCUAAUACGUGAGUAUUUUGACGUUACCGACAGAAUAAGCACCGGCUAACUCUGUGCCAGCAGCCGCGGUAAUACAGAGGGUGCAAGCGUUAAUCGGAAUUACUGGGCGUAAAGCGCGCGUAGGUGGUUCGUUAAGUUGGAUGUGAAAUCCCCGGGCUCAACCUGGGAACUGCAUCCAAAACUGGCGAGCUAGAGUAUGGUAGAGGGUGGGUGGAAUUUCCUGUGUAGCGGUGAAAUGCGUAGAUAUAGGAAGGAACACCAGUGGCGAAGGCGACCACCUGGACUGAUACUGACACUGAGGUGCGAAAGCGUGGGGAGCAAACAGGAUUAGAUACCCUGGUAGUCCACGCCGUAAACGAUGUCAACUAGCCGUUGGGAGCCUUGAGCUCUUAGUGGCGCAGCUAACGCAUUAAGUUGACCGCCUGGGGGAGUACGGCCGCAAGGUUAAAACUCAAAUGAAAUUGACGGGGGCCCGCACAAGCGGUGGGAGCAUGUGGUUUAAUUCGAAGCAACGCGAAGAACCUUACCAGGCCUUGACAUCCAAUGAACUUUCCAGAAGAUGGAUUGGUGCCUUCGGGAACAUUGAGAAAGGGGGCUGCAUGGCUGGCGUCAGCUCGGGCCCGGGAAAGUUGGGUUAGUCCCUAACGAGGGGAAC
rnacentral:rRNA from 1 species